GAUGAACGCUGGCGGCGUGCCUAAUACAUGCAAGUCGAGCGAACAGAUGAGGAGCUUGCUCCUCUGACGUUAGCGGCGGACGGGUGAGUAACACGUGGAUAACCUACCUAUAAGACUGGGAUAACUUCGGGAAACCGGAGCUAAUACCGGAUAAUAUAUUGAACCGCAUGGUUCAAUGGUGAAAUACGGUUUUGCUGUCACUUAUAGAGGGUUCCGGGCCGCAUUAGCUAGUUGGUAAGGUAACGGGUUACCAAGGCGACGAUGCGUGGCCGACCUGAGAGGGGGAUAGGCCACACUGGAACGGAGACACGGUCCAGACUCCUACGGGAGGCAGCAGUAGGGAAUCGUCCGCAGUGGGCGAAAGCCUGACGGAGCAACGCCGCGUGAGUGAUGAAGGUCUUCGGAUCGUAAAACUCUGUUAUGAGGGAAGAACAAAUGUGUAAGUAACUAUGCACGUCUUGACGGUACCUAAUCAGAAAGCCACGGCUAACUACGUG
rnacentral:rRNA from 1 species